UGUGCAAAGGUAGCAUAAUCAAUUGGCUUGUAAUUUAAGUCUGGUAUGAAUGUAGUUUUAGGCUAAAGCUGUCUCUUUAUAUUAAUUGGAAUUUAUUUAGCCGGUGAAAAUGCCGGCAGUUAAAUAAUAGACGAGAAGACCCUAGAAAUUUUUUGAAAGGUAUAAAUAGUAUGUAUUGGAUUUUGUUGGGGCGACAGAGUAACAGUUUAAACUUACUCUAUUUAAUGUGAAUUAGUUAUGGAAGUGUAAAUUACUCUAGGGAUAACAGCAUAAUUCUAUUAGUGUUUGUGACCUCGAUGUUGGACUAGGAAAGAUGAUAUUCAGAAGAUAUUAUUAUAGGCUCUGUUCGCGCC
rnacentral:rRNA from 1 species